UUACAUCCCUGGGCUAUGUCUAAUAUAAGUUUGAUUUUAUAUGAGAAUAAAUUUAAUAACAGUUAUAUUAAAUGUUUGUAUUGAAACUUGCAUAAAAUGAGUGCAUGAAUGAUGCAAAUAUUUGAUUAAUUGUUAAAUUCAUUCUUAUAUAAAAUGAAGUUUAUAAUUACGACAUUCAUUAUUGGAUUUUGAUUUUUUUAGUGAAAUUUAUAAUUUCAUUUAAACAUUUCAAUUGGCAAGUAGAAAGAGGAGAAAAGCGUGUGGAUUACAUCCCUGGAA
rnacentral:misc_RNA from 1 species